rnacentral:rRNA from 1 species
UACGAAGGGGGCAAGCGUUGUUCGGAAUUACUGGGCGUAAAGGGCGCGUAGGCGGUGCACUAAGUCAGGCGUGAAAGCCCUGGGCUCAACCCGGGAAUUGCGCUUGAUACUGGUGCGCUUGAAUCCAGGAGAGGUUGGUGGAAUUCCCAGUGUAGAGGUGAAAUUCGUAGAGAUUGGGAAGAACACCAGUGGCGAAGGCGGCUCACUGGCCCGGUACUGACGCUGAGGUGCGAAAGCGUGGGGAGCAAACAGG